AGCCAUCAUUCAACUCCUUAUUAGUUGCUUGUGGUUAGCAUUCUGGUCGUGCUCCAACACGGUCAGAAUGCGUU
rnacentral:sRNA from 1 species